ACAUGACUAUAGCUGUCCUCCUGGAGGGCCACCAGGGUGGGGUUCAGGCCCUGAUCCUGAACAAGGUCCAAAGCUCAAGCAGACUGUUUGAAUCAGGGGACAUUUGAGUCCUGCUGCCUAAAAAAGAGGAAAGAUGUCAGCCUUGGGUAAGAUUACAGGAUCUAAAACAGCCUGUUAGCUGUGAACAACAACAAACAAGUUGUUUUCUGAGCUUGGACAUCUAUAAAAUUUGAGGAACUUCUAAGAGACCAGUCUAGCAACUGCACCUGAGAAUACCCAGCUACAGCAUGUUCUCAGAAGCAACUGGCUCUCAUUUUUUUUUAAUUUCAUGUUUGACAUAAGAAGUGCAAUCUGAGAUUUCUGUUUUCUUUCACCCCAUUCCUGUGAAGGGUGUGGGACUGGGGCAGGUUAACUAUCUCAAAUUGAGUGAUUGCAAGUGUACUUUUGGUUAAAAGUUGGAAAUAAAAUAUAGAGACAGUAUUAUCAUUUGAACUGCGGCAGAAUUGAUGUUAAAAGUCAGCUUGAAUAACGGUCUG